rnacentral:rRNA from 1 species
UUAAGGCAGUUCUCUGUCAGUCGCCUGUGCAGAUACCAAUUGUAUGCACUCAGGCAGGAUGCAACCCGCUCCCGGUAAAACGGGACGGCCCGCCAGAGGACCCCUAAACUCUGUUUCUAUAUGUAACUUCUGAGUAAAACCAUAAAUAAAUCAAAACUUUCAACAACGGAUCUCUUGGUUCUGGCAUCGAUGAAGAACGCAGCAAAAUGCGAUAAGUAAUGUGAAUUGCAGAAUUCAGUGAAUCAUCGAAUCUUUGAACGCACAUUGCGCCCGCCAGUAUUCUGGCGGGCAUGCCUGUUCGAGCGUCAUUUCAACCCUCAAGCCCCCGGGUUUGGUGUUGGGGAUCGGCGAGCCCUUGCGGCAAGCCGGCCCCGAAAUCUAGUGGCGGUCUCGCUGCAGCUUCCAUUGCGUAGUAGUAAAACCCUCGCAACUGGUACGCGGCGCGGCCAAGCCGUUAAACCCCCAACUUCUGAAUGUUGACCUCGGAUCAGGUAGGAAUACCCGCUGAACUUAAGCAUAUCAUAAAGCCGGAGGAAAGGGACGGGUACCGAGUUUACAACUCCCAAACCCCUGUAAAAAAAAAAAUUGGGUGGCCCCGGGGGGAAAAACCCGGCUCCGGGAAAA